GACAAUCACACCGACCUAGGUCUUUCUUUUGUGGAACCGUCGUCAAAAUAAAGGAGACCUUUGUAUCAAAAAUUUCACGAAAAUUAUAAAAAUUAAAAAUGGCAGAAUCGGAAAUAGUGGAUGCGGACCUUACAAUUGAUGAUUUACUUCCUAAAAGUCCAGAAAGUCUGGCUGAGGAGAAGAAAGAGAGUGGCAACCACUUGUACAAAUUUAAAAAUUAUAAGGGUGCCCUUGUUAUGUACGAUGAGGCCAUCCAGCUAUGCCCGGAGAAUGCCUCUUACUACGGCAACAGAUCUGCUUGCUACAUGAUGCUGGGCAUGUACAAGAAGGCCCUAGAGGAUGCUCAAAAAUCUGUUGUGCUGGAUCCAACUUUCACUAAGGGAUACAUCAGAAUUGCAAAAUGCUGCAUUGCUCUUGGGGACAUCUCUGGUGGAGAGCAAGCAGUGCGCAGAGCGACGGAGCUGGGCGGCGCCGACUGCGCCACGAGCGAGCGCCGCGCGCUGGAGUCCCUGCGCAGGCUGCACGAGGACGCCCAGCGCGCCAUGGAGGCCGAAGACUACCGCCGCGCUGUGUUCUGCAUGGACCGCUGCCUUGACUACAGUCCAUCCAGCUCUAAGGCGAAAUUGACCAAAGCAGAAUGCUUGGCUAUGAUUGGACGCUGCCAAGAAGCACAAGAAAUUGCAAAUGACUUGAUCAGAAAUGACAGUUUGGACGCAGAGGCCAUAUUUGUGCGCGGCCUCUGUCUUUAUUUUGAGGACAAGGAUGACCAGGCAUUCAAGCAUUUCCAACAAGUGUUGCGUCUUGCACCAGACCACAAGAAAGCAAUGGAAACUUAUAAGAAAGCUAAACUGCUCAAGCAAAAGAAGGAAGAAGGAAAUGAGGCAUUCAAAAUGGGCCGCUGGCAGCAAGCCCUCACCCUGUACAACGAAGCCCUCACCAUCGACAAAAACAACAGAGCUGUCAAUGCCAAGCUCUACUUCAACAAGGCCACAGUAUGCGCCAAGCUCAACCAAAUUAAAGAAGCUGCUGAAGCUUGCACCGCUGCUCUUGAAUUAGAUGAAAAUUAUGUGAAGGCCCUUCUCCGCCGAGCCAAAUGCUACACAGAACUGGGAGAAUUCGAGGAGGCAGUCAAGGACUAUGAGAGACUAUACAAGAUUGAUAAAAGCAAAGAAAACAAAAUAUUACUCCAAGAGGCCAAACUUGCUCUUAAGAAGUCCAAACGCAAAGACUAUUAUAAAAUACUUGGGGUUGAGAAAUCUGCAUCUGAAGAUGAUAUUAAGAAGGCUUACAGGAAGCGCGCCCUGGUGCACCACCCGGACCGGCACGCGGGCGCGCCGGAGGGCGAGCGGCGCGAGCAGGAGCGCCGCUUCAAGGAGGUGGGCGAGGCCUACGGCGUGCUCAGCGACCCCAAGAAGCGCGCGCGCUACGACCACGGCCACGACAUGGACGACGACAGCGGCGGCAUGGCCGGUUAGUGCUGUCCCACUCGGUGCACCGCCCCUGCGAGGCCCAGGACUCUGCUGGCUCAAUACUGCCUCGACCUCUCCCAGUCUCGGUGAUAUCGACCCGAACGUAGUGUUCCAGACUUUCUUCAACCGCGGGGGCCAACACUUUGAUUUCCAGUCGGGAGGUGGCUUCCCUGGAUCCGCAUUUAGCUUCCAGUUCGGUUAAUCUAUAGGUAAACUAACAAAACAAAACAAUGUCCCAGGUAGAACACACAAAAUUACUAAUUCAAUUCAUUGCCAUUCCAAAUUAUAUGAACCAAAUUAGUGCACUUUAUUUGAUCAUGUAGCGUGCUAGAGUUAGACCAAGCUAACUUGGCAGCGUGUUUAAUAGCAUAAACUGUGCAAGUGUUAUUUUAAACGUCAAACUUCUAUGAAAUUAUGACGUUUACUUGACACUUGCACAGUCUGUACUAUCAAAAUCGCUGCCAACUUAGCUUGGUCUGACUCUACCCACGAUUCUACUGAUUUUUUUUGUACCUACUCAUAAUUUAGCACUAACCGAAAAUUUACAAUGUUAAAAUUAUGCUGUGAGGAGUGUAACAUUCUGAUAAAAUUAAUGAUAUUUUAUAUUUAUACUUACAAAAAUAGUGUUGCAUUUUAGUACCUGCAAUAUUUUGAAGUGACGAAUCUAUUCACUGCCCUUAAAUGUAUGGGGUGCAUUAACGCCUUUUAAUAACAAGAUGGUUAAUGGCAAAUUUAUGUUAAUUGCAUAAUUAAUUAAUAUUAUAGAGAUAGUAAUGUUAUCGACUGAUUUGGUUAAGUAACUUUUUUCAUUCUUCAAGUGAAGCAGUAACUGUUUAGAAACAUAAUGUUUGUUUUCUUUGAUAGUUAUUGCAACCCUUUUGAUAUGCAUAUAGUGUAGCUCUGUUACUAGAUGAGAAAUAUAAAUUUACUAUUUUGUAAUAAUUUCAGUGUAAUUUGUCUCACUCUAUUCUCAUUGAAUGAAGCCCAAUAUAACAUUGUUAUAUUUAUAUGUCUGGCUACAAUUCACAUAACUUCGUAAAAUGGGCCUCUCAUAUUAAAAUUAUAUAAUUAGGCGGGAAAUCUGUGUAGUGAUAGAUUUAUUUUAUUGAAAGUAUUUGUCUAACAUGAAAGAAGAAAACGAUAUAGUAUAAGUAUCAUAUAAAUAGUGACACCCAAAGUAGCCAAAUAUACGGUAGGUAAGUACACAUCGUUAAUUUUAUGAUAAAAAGGUGUUACAAUAUAUUUGGCCACUUUGGCCGUUACUGUGUAUUUGAAGCUGAUUGUACUGUGCAGCACAUCUAGCACGUUUUAUGAAGACUCGCGCGACUACAUGUGUCUGGUCGCGGUUUGCGGUAACAUGUGCUAGAUGUGCUGGUGAGAUUUCUGCUAAGAUUAACACUAUAGCAUGUUAUAUGGGAUUGUUUCAAAUAAUUACAAGUACCUACAGUACAAAGUACCGCUUUUAUAACUUGGUUGGUGUCAUAAUUUACCAUCUGAAACUACUUGUUCGGAUUUUAUAUUGUAAUAUAAGCUACAUAAUACGCGAAACAAUUAACAUCUAUGCUGUUGUUGCCGGAUAUAAGAUUGCCAACUGAUAAUUGUACUUCAUUUUAUUAUCGGUAUGGUUUAGAAAUAAAGUUUACGCCAAA